AUACAUAUAGGUAUUUAUGUAUACCAAAAUCAGAACAAUACAGAAAAGAUUAGCAUGGCCCCUGUGCAAGGAUGAUAGGCAAAUUCAUGAAGCAUUCCUUCU